GAUGAACGCUGGCGGCGUGCCUAAUACAUGCAAGUCGAGCGAACAGACGAGGAGCUUGCUCCUCUGACGUUAGCGGCGGACGGGUGAGUAACACGUGGAUAACCUACCUAUAAGACUGGGAUAACUUCGGGAAACCGGAGCUAAUACCGGAUAAUAUAUUGAACCGCAUGGUUCAAUAGUGAAAGACGGCUUUGCUGUCACUUAUAGAUGGAUCUGCGCCGCAUUAGCUAGUUGUUAAGGUAACGGCUUACCAAGGCAACGAUGCGUAGCCGACCUGAGAGGGUGAUAGGCCACACUGGAGCUGAGACACGGUCCAGACUCCUACGGGAGGCAGCAGUAGGGUAUCUGCCGCAAUGGGCGAGAGCCUGACAGAGCAGCGCCGCGUGAGUGAUGAAGGUCUUCGGAUCGUAAAACUCUGUUAUUAGGGAAGAACAAAUGUGUAAGUAACUAUGCACGUAUUGACGGUACCUAAUCAGAAAGCCACGGCUAACUACGUG
rnacentral:rRNA from 1 species